CAAUAGCGUAUACUAAAGUUGUUGCGGUUAAAAAGCUCGUAGUUGGAUUUCUGCUGAGAACGACCGGUCCGCCCUUUGGGUGUGUAUCUGGCUCUUUCUUGGCAUCUUCUUGGUGAACGUUGCUGCACUUGACUGUGUGGAGCGCUACCCAGGACUUUUACUUUGAGGAAAUUAGAGUGUUUCAAGCAGGCAUACGCCUUGAAUACAUUAGCAUGGAAUAAUAAGAUAGGACCUCGGUUCUAUUUUGUUGGUUUCUAGAGCUGAGGUAAUGAUUAAUAGGGAUAGUUGGGGGCAUUCGUAUUUAACUGUCAGAGGUGAAAUUCUUGGAUUUGUUAAAGACGGACUACAGCGAAAGCAUUUGCCAAGGAUGUUUUCAUUGA
rnacentral:rRNA from 1 species